rnacentral:rRNA from 1 species
GGCUAACGCUGGCGGCGUGUCUUAGCCAUGCAAGUCGAGCGGACUUAUGGGGUAACUUAUAAGUCAGCGGCGGACGGCGGAGUAACACGUAGCUAACCUACCCUCUGGACGGGGAUAACCUACCGAAAGGUGGGCUAAUACCCGAUGUAGUCAUCCUGUAUAGGGGUGAUGAAAGGUGGGCUUCUGUUUACAAGCUCAUGCUGGAGGAGGGGGCUGCGGCCUAUCAGGUAGUUGGUAGGGUAAUAGCCUACCAAGCCGAUGACGGGUAGCCGGCCUGAGAGGGUGACCGGCCCGAGGGGCACUGAGAUACGGGUCCCACUCCUACGGGAGGCAGCAGGCUAGAAAUUUGGGCAAUGGGGGAAACCCUGACCCAGUGACGCCGCGUGCAGGAAGGAGCCCUUCGGGGUGUAAACUGCUGUCGUGUAGGGAGAAGGGUACUAAGGUGAACAAUCUUAGUACUUGACGGUACUACAGGAGGAAGCCCAGGCUAACCUCGUGCCAGCAGCCGCGGUAAAGUACUCUAU